rnacentral:lncRNA from 1 species
CACCAGUGAAAGAGGGGAAGUUGCUACUGUGAUGAAUUCUGCCAUGUGGUACCAGACUGCUGCCCAGACCACAGUGUCCUCUGCAACCCUGCUUCUCAGAUGACCAAGAUGGUGCUGCCGAUGGUGUUGAGGACGGAGAACCCACCAAGCCCCGUUAGGAGCCACCUAGACUGGAUGCAGAGCACAGCCCAUCAGAAACUCAAAAGAAUGCUACCUUUGUCUCUCACCCACCUGUGCCCUGGAAGCUUUCUCCUGGCUUCAAGUUGUCCCACCUUUGCUUGGCAUUGCCCUGCCUUUUCCAGACUGAACAAAUGUUCAUCUUACAUAUGUUGAUUGAUGUCUCAUGUCUCCCUAAAACAUAUGAAAUCAAGCUGUGCUCUGACCACCUUGGCACAUGUCGUCAGGACCUCCUGAGGCUGUGUCACGGACGCGCAUCUUCAACCUUGGAAAAAUAAACUUUCUAAAUUAACUGA